UGUCCUGUCUACACCAGAGGAAAAGCAAAUCUAACCCAUUGUUUUGACGUACUAAACGUGCUACAGUCUGCUUACAACAGGACAUCUUGCAGGCGGAUUAUGUGUUUAUGCAGAGCAUUUGACUAAUGAUUGUUUUGUAAAUGAGGCACAGAGUUCGUAAAGUAUGUCUUUUUGAAAGAUUUAGCAGCCAACUGAAUGCGAUCUAACACCAGCUGCAUCGAAAACCGUUCUUGCCAGGUUUGUUGGUUUCUGAUCCUGGGUCAGUGGGGGAUUUCUGCACGACAGGCCGCACCCCGAAGAGGCUCCAUCGCUCUCCUCCCCGUCCUCCUCCUUCAUUACCUCCCAUCGAAACGCUUGUGAUGAAACUGCUGGACUUAAAUGGAGUAUGGAGGUAUCCGUUUCCACAGCGCUGACCCCCGUACAUGACCCUGGUGUUGGGAGGGUUGAACAAACACUUCCCUCCACCGGAGCUCAGGUAGCGCUUCAGCUCUUUCUGAUUGCAGGGGUUGAAGACACGAGGGAACGGAUCCCUGGAGAACAUUGACAUUUAUGCCGAGUUGAUUUUAAAGGGACGGUUCAGCAAAAAUGGAAAAUCUGUCAUCAUGCUUGAAAUUGUACAGCAUCUUUUUCUUUGGUUCUCACCCUGUGGCAGCAGCCAUAAUGCAGCCUCCAUCCUUAGGCUGAGAGAGACAGCAACCUGGACUAUCAUGGCUCAUCCCAAAGUUAUGCCCCAUCUCAUGAGCCAUGGUGGCAGCAACCCCCACAGCACUGCUAGAGUGGUCCUACAGAGAGAGAGAGAGAGAGAGAGGCAGACGAAACAAAAACUUAGUGCAUACAGCUAUAAAAACUCAAUGGAAUACUGCUGUAGGUAAAUUUACCGAAUUGACUCCACCAGACUGGUAUUCAGAACACAUGGCUUUAAGGGGAGCCAGACCAAUGAUGGUGCCCUUAAAAGAAACACCCCUACAAACACAACAAAAACAACUUGUGAAAUUCCAAUGAAAACAAAGGAAACCGAAUCAAACCAAUGCACUGCCUAGCUGAACAGAUACAAUCAUUUAAAAUGAUAGUCACCCACAAAUGAAAAUUGUGUCAUCUACUCACUCACAUUUCCUUCCAAA